AAACGUUCAGGUCGCUAUCCUUGGACAUCCAACGACUUCAACGAGUACCCUAACCUCGUAAUAGGCCUUCCGUGGAGCACGUUGUUCGUACCGAAGGCGCGCUCAUGGCGGAAAGGUGUGCGAAAGCUCCCGCUACACGUUGCAAAGUCCAUGUCUCUGCCGAACGCAACGAACUCCGACGAUGAGUCAUGCCGUCAGUCAGUUUGCCGCAGAGCUGAUUAUCGUGUAACGAUUCUGAUAUAAUUCUCGGUCGUUAAAGAACGCCGGGAUAUUGUUACGUGAUAAUUACACGAUAACAAGGCAUCCGUUAUUUUACGUGGCCAUCUACGUUGUUUCUAACGUAACGCGUUUACGAGCGUCGAGGCGCCUGGCUUUCACGCUCAAGAAUGCAAAUGGGUGCAUCCUUAUCGGAUUGACUUUGAGAUACUUGUCGACACACUUUCGCUGCUGGUACUGCUUCUACUUUGAUUUUCGAAAUCGAACCGUACGGAUACACCUUCCUAUGGUGCUUCCCAUUACGGUUAUUCCCCGGCGUGUUAAUCAAUUCCCAGCGUAGAAUGGGAAGUUCGCAUCGUGUAAGUUGGACGUUAGAGUUUUGGCCGUUAUGCGUGACGCCUGUACGGUGUGUCCGUUUGUUUUGCGCCGCGACCCGCCUGCCGGGCAUGAUGAUGUUUUCAUACACGUUGAUGAUAGUCUCCAAGCUUUGUCGAAUAAAAGUCAGAGAUUCUCCAUACCAAAAUGUGUUUCUGGUCAUUCGCACUUGUGAUGGCGGAUUUAGCAUGACGUGCAGUGAGAGAGCGCGAGAAAAAGCCGUUGAAGAUGCACGCAAUAAAGUCAUUGGAAUUACGUUUGGAUCCCGGUUGGAAACUAGGGCUAUCAAGGAAAAACACAAGAAAAUUCUUUUCCUUAUUACUUCCUGUAGCGUGGUGUAGAGAAAUGUAUUGUUUCUGGUGAAAGUUCACUACGAGCAUUGUUACGUUAAAGUCGUGUAAAAAGAUCUGUCGAUGGCUCGAAAGAUCGGUUUUAUUAACUCGACUGUAUUUCUACUGUGGAUUCUCAACGUAGUGAAAUGAUGACAGGUAACGAGGAGAAUUAUUCUGCGAGGAGUAACGGUAUCGUUCGUGCUGUUUUGAUGACCUCCAGUUAAUCAAGUUUAUGAGGAUUUCAUUCUGAGAAACGUAUAGCACGCUGGCUUUCAUUGCUGUUUCCAGAUCGGACGUUUGAUUUUCGUAACGGAUUUUUCAAAAUGAUACAUAUACCUUGUCUCCAACUUAAUCAAACGCACUUUGUUAUCGGUUGGAGUUAUGCUAAUAAUUUUUUUAUCUAUGCGGACAGCCUUCUCUGUAUAAACUGUUAACGUGGAAGAGGAGUUACGAUGGAUCGGCUAUAUUUUACCUCUGGAAUAUGUCAAGGUCUCGCGCUGUACUAAGUAAUCUACUUAUCGCGGAGUCAAUAUCUUGUAAUGGAGAGCACGUGGAUAAGGUAUAAGUUUGGAGGUGCUUUGUGAAUUCGGCUUAAGAAUUUCGUGCCAAGAUGUUAUUAACAACUGUAGUUCGAUUUGCAAGGUCGCAAGCGUCAACAAAAGUUGUGAAACUUCUAGGAUGAUCGUGAAAAAAAAUUCGUUGAGUUACGUGCGUCAUACUUGACGAUACAGACGUACGAUUGUCAGGGUGAAUAGUAAUAAAUUGUACGAAUACGAUAUUUCGAAAAUCCUAACAAUUUCGUAUAAUGUAAACAUCGCUUACAUGAUUCUCGUAAACUGUCAAAAUCUAACACCGGUUCAUAUAACUGUUCAAGAGAAAUUUUAAAAUUACGGAUUUACCUAUUACCCAACUGUAUAGACGAUCGGGCAGUUUUGAUCGAAGCUACGAGACAUGACAAACCGCCAAAACAAUUUAUAUGGAUAAAAAUAAUUGAUUCAGUGUCCGAUCGUUCACAGCAGUGAUCAUGAUCAACGAAGCGCUAAAUGAUCUUGUAUAAAUCUACUUGAAUGAGCAAAUAAAUAGGCCUCUUGUAUAUACAAUACAUACAUCCAUUA